rnacentral:rRNA from 1 species
AUUGAACGCUGGCGGCAGGCCUAACACAUGCAAGUCGAACGAGUGGCGGACGGGUGAGUAAUGUCUGGGAAACUGCCCGAUGGAGGGGGAUAACUACUGGAAACGGUAGCUAAUACCGCAUACCAUCGGAUGUGCCCAGAUGGGAUUAGCUAGUAGGGGGGGUAACGGCUCACCUAGGCGACGAUCCCUAGCUGGUCUGAGAGGAUGACCAGCCACACUGGAAAUGAGACACGGCCCAGCCUCCUACGGGAGGAAGCAGUGGGGAAUAUUCGACAAUGGGCGCAAGCCUGAGGCAGCAAUGCCGCGUGUAUGAAGAAGGCUUUCGGGUUUUAAAGUACUUUCAGCAAGGAGGCGUUACUCGCAGAGGAAGCCCCGGCUAACUCCGUGCAAGCAGCCGCGGUAAUUC